GGGGAUAGCCGUGCCCCCCCUUCCCCCCCUCCGCCCAGGCUGGGGAGGAGCGACGCUGGGCACACGGCUCCUGCGGGAGGCGGAGCGAUUUGCGCUUAUUUAAUCUGAAGGGGAGAAGAUUUGGGGUGGGGGGUUGAUAGCAGCCUUCAGCUCCCUGCAGGGCUUGAAAGAGGAGGGCUGCUCUCAGUGGCGGCAGGUGACAGAAGGAGCAAUGGGCUCAUUGUAGGAUAUUAGGAAGAGUUUUUAGGCGACCCAUAGAGGCGGUGGGAUCUCUCUCCGUGGAGGCUUUUAAGACCCACCUAAACAAAGCCCUUGGCUGGGAUGAUGUAGAUGGGGCUGGUCCUGCUCUGUGCAGGGGGGUGCGCUAGAUGCGAGCUCCCAAGGUCCCUUCCCACCCGCGUCUUCUGUGUUGCAUGUAGGAGACACCACGGCGAGGGGGAGAAGGGGCCCGGUUGGUUUCUGUGUCUGCUUCGUCUGGCCCUGGGUGCGGGGCUGCUGCACGGAGAGCCUGGCUGCAAGGGCCAGGCUGAAAUUUGCCCUCCGGUCAAGGGCGCAGCGGGUGGGGGUGGCCGGGAAGUGACGCUGCCCCCAGUGGAUGUCCUUGGCGGAGGAACGUGACUCAGCUGUCUCCCUCCUCCAGGGCUUGUCACCAGGCUCGGGGCUUUGGGGUGGCUCGGGGGAGGAUGGCUGCAUGCAAGCCUGGCCUGGGGGUUCGAGCUCAUCUUGUGUCCUGCCCCAAACAUCCUGAGCGUGUCUGGGCCUCACUGUUUGGCUGAAAGCCGUGGUGCUGUGAGGGGAUGCCCUGAAGAUUGUGGCCUAGUUGGGUAUCGAGGGGCUUUCCCAGGAGCUGCUUUUCCCACCCCCUCCUCACAACCAGCAGCUGCUUUGAACAGUCCAGGAUUGAGGCUUUGAGCCUUUUGCCUGUCAUCCCCAGGCUCCCUGUAUGCAGAAAUGCAGCUGCGUCUGGAGAGGGAGGUCAUUCCCUUCUGGUCUGCACACAAUCUCUGCUCAACAGCUGGGACACGGGACGUUUUACUCCAAGGCCGGUGGACCCCCAUUGCCCUUGCAGAGGGCCUGUAAUAGCCACACCACAUGGAUCCAGCCUCACAACUCAAGGAUCUCACUCCCCCAGCAGAAGAGACGCCGCUCAGUUUCUCUGCCUAGGAGGAUCUGCCUUGACUGCUGGCUUAGUUGGCAGAAGUGCUGAAGCCUGCAUCUCCCGCUGAAAUUAAAGGGUAUGCAUGUGGAAAAUG